rnacentral:lncRNA from 1 species
AUGGGUGGAUCGGCUUCUUUUGAAGCCAACUCUCAUGCAUUAGUAAGUUUAUAUUUUAAAUUCAUUUCAAUUUAAAUAUUUUAUGAAUUAUUUUAACUAGAUUUUUUCGUAUAGAGUCUCAAAUUAGGUCGAAAACCGUCAUUUCAAGAGGCAUUCUUGUCAACUCAUAUGUCGUUAAAUGAUAGAGGAAAAACUAUAAUGGUGAAUGAUCAUUUAUUAAUUAUUCAUAAUAUAUUUAUUUUUUCUUAAUUAUUUCAUAUUUGAUUUUCGUAAAGGUCGAAUAUGAAAAUUUGAAUGAAGAACUUCAAAGACAAGAAGACAGUGAUUCUGAUUCUGAUUCUGAUGACGAUAGCGAAGACGAAAAUUUAUCGUCUCAAGGUUCAACUACAUUUCAUAUGAAG